rnacentral:misc_RNA from 1 species
GAUGAAGAACGUAGCGAAAUGCGAUAAGUAAUGUGAAUUGCAGAAUUCAGUGAAUCAUCGAAUCUUUGAACGCACAUUGCGCCCUUUGGCAUUCCGAAGGGCACACCUGUCCGAGCGCCGUCGCACAACUGAGGCGCAGCCUUGCGUUGGCGGGCGACUUGUGAGUAGCGAGUCGCCGCCCAAACGAGACGGCGCCGCGCCGCGGCCGACGAAGCACGAAAGCGGAAGUCGACGCGGAGGCGGUUGCCUGUAGGAAGACACAGCUUGGCCUCGGAUCAGGUGGGGAUACCCGCUGAACUUAAGCAUAUCAUAAGCGGAGGA